rnacentral:rRNA from 1 species
UACUCCCGCCGGCGACCGGCGCACGGGUGAGUAACACGUAUGAAACCUGCCCGUAGCAGGGGGAUAAGCGGAAGAAAUUCCGUCUAAUACCGCGUAACAACCCGAGGAGGCAUCUCCUCGGGUUUAAAGGAAGCGAUUCCGGCUACGGAUGGUCAUGCGUCGCAUUAGCUAGUUGGCGGGGUAACGGCCCACCAAGGCGACGAUGCGUAGGGGUUCUGAGAGGGAGGUCCCCCACACUGGUACUGAGACACGGACCAGACUCCUACGGGAGGCAGCAG